rnacentral:rRNA from 1 species
UGGGGAAUUUUGGACAAUGGGCGAAAGCCUGAUCCAGCAAUGCCGCGUGUGUGAAGAAGGCCUUCGGGUUGUAAAGCACUUUUGUCCGGAAAGAAAUCCUUGGCUCUAAUACAGUCGGGGGAUGACGGUACCGGAAGAAUAAGCACCGGCUAACUACGUGCCAGCAGCCGCGGUAAUACGUAGGGUGCAAGCGUUAAUCGGAAUUACUGGGCGUAAAGCGUGCGCAGGCGGUUUGCUAAGACCGAUGUGAAAUCCCCGGGCUCAACCUGGGAACUGCAUUGGUGACUGGCAGGCUAGAGUAUGGCAGAGGGGGGUAGAAUUCCACGUGUAGCAGUGAAAUGCGUAGAGAUGUGGAGGAAUACCGAUGGCGAAGGCAGCCCCCUGGGCCAAUACUGACGCUCAUGCACGAAAGCGUGGGGAGCAAAACAGGAUUAGAUACCCUGGUAGUCCACGCCCUAAAACGAUGUCAACUAGUUGUUGGGGGAUUCAUUUCCUUAGUAACGUAGCUAACGCGUGAAGUUGACCGCCUGGGGAGUACGGUCGCAAGAUUAAAACUCAAAGGAAUU